UACGGAGGGUGCUAGCGUUGUUCGGAAUCACUGGGCGUAAAGGGCGUGUAGGCGGUCUGUUAAGUCUGAUGUGAAAUCCCCUCGCUCAACGAGGGAACUGCGUCGGAUACUGGCAGACUCGAGUACCGGAGAGGAAGGUGGAAUUCCCGGUGUAGCGGUGAAAUGACGUAGAUAUCGGGAGGAACACCGGUGGCGAAGGCGGCCUUCUGGACGGAUACUGACGCUGAGACGCGAAAGCGUGGGGAGCAAACAGG
rnacentral:rRNA from 1 species